GUAAACUGGGCUUGGGAAGAACGCCCUAGUCAGGGGAGGGGGCUGCGGAGGGAUGGGUAUUGAUGAUGAUAAUGAUGUGACUGGUGGUGGAAGUAUCAUUUUUGAGCACUUCCUAGACCUGAGCACCGUGCUUUGGUCCUUUACAGGAAUUAGAUCAUUUCAUCAUACCUGGAGGCGAGACUAAUCCCCACUUUCAGAUUGUACAUUUCAUAGUUUACAGAUGAGGAAACUGAGGCUCACACCUCCAGUCAUGGGCGGAGCUCCCGUCUGCCUGAGCUCCUGACCACAGUCCUCUCUGAGACCUUCUCAAGAGCCCUUCUGGAGACAUCCAGAAAUACGGGUGGGGUGUCACAGGGGGUGCCUAGAGCAGGUGUGGCUCAGAACCAUCCAAUAAUGGGUUCCUAUAGUUCUUGUGGCUCAGACUGGCAGGAUCUGGGAAAUCUUGGGUUACAUUUAUAGGUCUUUAAAAAUGAGCAUUUUUUGGAUACUGAAUCCUUUAAUCUCAAAUUCCUGUGCAAGCCAAACACGGAGACAUCCGUGCUUGGAGAUGGAGAAAAAUUUAUUCCAUUUGGCCAAAAUGAGUUGUUGGGAGCCUGGGUUCGCUCAAAUCCAUGCCCCCAAGAACAGAGAGCAGGGGAGGGUGUGGUUUAUAGAGCUAAGGGGCUUUGCAGGAGGAGCUUCGGGCAAGCAAAGGGGUCACUCCCGUUAAGCCCCUGGGCAAUCUGACCUCUGGGCUUCAACUGCUGAGGGCCGGCCAUUCUUGGUGAAGGCAACCUCCCCGAGGGCAUUCUCUUUCUCCUGCAAAACAAGCUCGCAAAUCUUCUGGAAAACAGGCUCACAAAUCCUCGAGACCCCUGAGUCACCCCUCAAGUUAAACAGGAAAACAGCAAAUUGAUUAAAUAUCUACAAUACCCCUCAGGUACCGGCUUCAUUUUCACCUUUGACUCUAAUAUACUUUCUUUAGCUUUUGCUCAUAAGGAGGUAUGGCUCUCUUUAAAAGACCCUCUUAAAAAUGCUUCCUCCUAUGACUCCUCUGGGCCAUUCUACUUUGAGUUGGCACAAAAAUGAACAGCUUAGACACUUCUGGGCAAAACUACAGAAGAAAAUAAAUCCUGGAGUGUCGUAGCUGACCACAAGCUGCCCAUGAGUGAGCAGCAGAGAUACUGAUUUGUAGGAAAAAGCUGAUUUGUGGCGGUGCCAUGUGCGAAAAGGGCGUGAGUUAGCCGCCCUGCCUCAGGUAGGGUGACUGUCCUAGGAGUUGUCCUCCCAGGGUUUAUUCACAGGCCCCUCGUCAGGAACCAGGAACGUGGAACCAGUUCCUUCAAAGAAUCACUGUUACAAAUGGAGGCAAAGUGCUGCAGGGAGGCUGGAGAUGCCCACCUGUGGCUCAAAACCCCAUAUUUAUGAGGAAACAAUAGGAGAAAGCAAUUUAGUUCUGAUGUGCAGUUAAUUUUCACCAUGCCUUUGUCAUGACCGGGAUACUUCAUGAGGGGGGCGAUGAUGGCAUGGCCAGAAGCACAGCUCCUUUCAAUUUCCAGGUUGUUGGUAUUUGGCCCACCUCUGCCUCUUUCCAUCCCCACCCCUACUGGAUCUUUCUAGAAGGCUUUCAGUUCUCCCCCAAAUCAUUUGCAUGUGUGCACACGUGUGCAAACACACACACACACAGCAGAAUCUGUCUCCCAGUCCUCCCGCCUCUGUCUGACACACAUCCCUCACUCCUCACCUCUGUCUGUCUGACUCCCAGGGUGCGAUGCUCCUUCAUGCACUUUCCCAAAGUCUGACAACAGCAACAUGACAAAGGGCAGACCUCCCUCUGAAUUAUCCCCCCUCCAAAUUGCAUCUCCACCCUCCUACUGCCUUCCGUCUUCAUUACCAACAUCCUGGUCAUCAUUUCCGGUGGGGACAAGUGGGAGAGCCUCACCGGCUUCUUUCCUUCCCGGUCCCUCCCCUGUCCCAUCCCCUGUUCCAUUUUCCACACCGUAGCCAGAGCGGGCUUUGAAAGCGUUCACGGUUCGUGUCUCCUGCCGGUACGUACAGUGAAAUCCAGCUCUUUCCCUGACGUGCCAGGCCCACGUGGUCUCCCUGCCUAGCUCACCGCCUUUCUCUUUUCUCAGCCCCCAUUCCCCUGAUUGCUGGAAGACAUGAGGCUCAGCCCUGGCUCUGGCUUUUGCUCUUGUUUUCCUCUCAGUCUGGAAUGCUUUUCCUCUCUGCUGCCUCUUUUGAUCUGGCACGUGUCAAUUUAAUAUUAGUCCCCUCCUCCGAGAAGUCUUCCUUGGUCUCCCUCUCUAAAGUGUGUCCUUUUGUGUUCCCUUACGCUAACUACUUAUUCCCUUCGGAGAACAGAAUGCAAUCACUCUGUAGUGCUCUUGCUUGUUUACCUGUGUCCUGGUCCAUUGUGUGUCUCCACCAGAAUGGAUUUCGAAAGCCUGACUUUGUCCAGCCUGUUGAUCCGCAUAGCUGCAGUGCCCAGAACAGUGCCUGACAGUGCAGGUGUUCAUAAAUGCUUGCUUGGUGAAUGAACGAAUGAACCUAAAAUUCAUUUAAGAGAACAAAUGAAAAACAGUUCCCAUGACAGGGAAAUUCUGCAGAACAUGAAGGGAUUUGAGCCAUGGACGCCACGUAAACCCGCAGCAUCCUGCUGACUGGGGACUAGCUCAAAAUCAAGGUCAAGGCAGACCUGUGGGAGGCCUUAUUGGUUGCAGGGCAUCUGCAGGGUUGGGUGAGGAUGAGGUUUAGAAGCAGAGACCCUGGGGUCAGUGCUGGAUGGGGGUGCUGUAGGCCUGAUGCUUCUGGAAGGUGACGGGGAGGUAUGGUGGCCACUGGUUUCGACCUCGUUGCAUCUAGGUUUAUAAAAAUUUGGGCUAUGUGGUUUAAACACAAACAAGCCCCAUUUUCCCAUCCAUACUAAGUGGAGAGUGAUAUCGCUGGGUGAAAAUAAUCACAGUUCCAUUGGUUUGAAAUAUGCUAAUGCCUGUGUUGAAAACACAGUGAUGUGAGCAGAUGCCAGCACAUCUUUGGGGGUGUGACCUUCAUGCCACAAGGUGGGCUGACUAGUGAGUGAAGCAGAACCCCAAAUGAUAACUCACAGAUGUAUUUAUGGAGAGUCAAGUAGAGUUCUGGGGGAAGCAGAAUCAGGAUGUAUGGAGGAUUUGGUGGGGAGGAGAGAAGUGUAUAGGGAUGGGAGGAAAAGCCAUAAGAUCUUUUAGAUGUUUGUCUUGGGCCAUGAGAAAGAAAUUAGAUAUUAUUUCUGAGAUAUUAGAAUAAUGAGUUUUCACUCUCAGUAAUCAAGAAGAUGCUCCUACUCACUGAAUCAAUAGGUUUGUGGUUUAGGGGAGACCUCACAUCCUGGAACGAAGAAGUCUUGCUCAGUUUUGCAUUUCAAAUUAGAUUUCUGAAAGUCCAUAGCAAGCUAGUAAUCAGUAAUCUUGAGAAACUGGCUGUUGAGAGGGAGAAGUUUUUCUAUUUUCCAAGAAGAUCCCUUUUCUGUAUCUGGGGCAAAGCUUAGGGAUCUGAGCACAGAGUGAUGUGUCAAGCCGUUGUGUAGAGAACAGAGAGUUCGACACAAAGAAGUGCCCCACAGGAAGGAAGAAAGAUCCAUCUGGUGCUUGGAGAAGUGUGGAGUGAGACUCAGAGGGGCAAGGAGUCAGGGUAAGAAGCUGUGUGCCCCGCCUACUGCCCAUGGACUCAGGCUGGGGGUGGGCAAGGUGGUAGAAAAGCCCAGAUAUGGUGACAAGAAGUGGAAAGUGCCUCACUUCACAUCUGGAUCACUGGGAAGAGAAUCCUUUGCGGGUAUCUAUACAGGAGUGUCAUGGCAAGGUGGAAACACUGGCAAGUUGUGUUUCAGCAAAGGGAGUGUCUAAGACAGCGGCCCUUGCUUCUACAUGGCCUGUAUGAGGGUGUGUCGAGACCUUCCCAGGUGACACCUGGGGUGCAUAAGGAAUCUGGGAGUGAAGAGCCAGCAUGCCUGGUGAAGGGCGACUGAGUCAGGGGGACUCCUUGGCAGAGUCUCAGAGUGGACAUCCAGAGCAGAGGUCAGAGGGAGCAUGUGGCUGAUCCCUAGUGGGUCAGUGGUGCCAGGGAGCACUGAGGAGUGGCCCCACGUGGCAGGGGAAUGGCCAGACUGCCCAGGAGCUCUUGUUAGGUAUUGCCUACAUGAAGAGAAAGGUCAUGAACAUCCCAAGCCCAGCUGGACAAGGGGCGGGAGAGGAUGUGGCUUAGGAACAGCACAUGGGAAAGGAACUUAAGGGUUAUCAUUCAUGAUGAUCAAAAUGAGUCCCAGCAUAUUAACCUGUGAAAUAAAUGAAGGGGUUAUAGUCUGGUCCUAUUCUUCCCUGGGCCCGUCAGCUCACUUCUGGAGCACUGGAGUCAUGCUGGGGUCUCACCGCGAGGCUGAACCAGAGCCCACGCAGAGGAGAGCGGUUCACUACAAUAUGUGGGCACCUAGAUACAUCAUAGCAAAAAUGCAAGUUCCUAUAGCUCCAUAUCUAGAGUUCUUGGUGAAGUCUAACUUUAAUACUGGAAAACUUCAGGGCCCUGAACUUUGCAUGCACAUUUUGCUGGCGUGUGAUGUAUCAAAUCCUGGAAGUCACCACGCUAGGCGGCUUUUCCCCCCAGCUUGGACAAUUGACAGUCACAGAUGGGACAUGUGCCUGUGUGGCGAGGCUACUGGGCAAUUCUCAGAGUGUCUACUCUACACCUUUCUCUCUGUCUCACAAAGCACAAGGAAAUCUUCACACCUCAUUGAAAAUCCAAGCGAAUGAGCAUGAUGUGAAUAUAGGGGUAACUUGGAAUUUAAAGACCACAACUAAAAGAGAAGAGUAAAUCGUUAGCAAAGUUCAGUUAUUAGCAAUAAUUACAACAAAUUACUACUCAAUAGAACCUAAGACUUCGAUGCCACGCACCUGGAAGACGGCAUUGCAAUUUCGCGUGGCUGGUUUUAAAUGCAGAACAAUGGAAGCUGAUGACAUACUGACAGAGAUGCCACUGUUCUAUGGAAAAGGUCUUUGACAUCCUCGGGGCUUUACAUCAGGUGUAUCUGAAAUGCUGCUGCGUAGGUUUGCCUCACUGCAUGUGGCG
rnacentral:lncRNA from 1 species